GACGAACGCUGGCGGCGUGCCUAAUACAUGCAAGUCGAGCGCAGGAAACUGACGGAACUCUUCGGCGGGAAGGCAGUGGAAUGAGCGGCGGACGGGUGAGUAACGCGUAAGGAACCUGCCUCAAGGAUUGGGAUAACUCCGAGAAAUCGGAGCUAAUACCGGAUAGUUCAACGGACCGCAUGGUCCGCUGAUGAAAGGCGCUCCGGCGUCACCUUGAGAUGGCCUUGCGGUGCAUUAGCUAGUUGGUGGGGUAACGGCCCACCAAGGCGACGAUGCAUAGCCGACCUGAGAGGGUGAUCGGCCACACUGGGACUGAGACACGGCCCAGACUCCUACGGGAGGCAGCAGUAGGGAAUCUUCCACAAUGGACGAAAGUCUGAUGGAGCAACGCCGCGUGAGUGAUGAAGGUUUUCGGAUCGUAAAACUCUGUUGUAAGGGAAGAACACGUACGAGAGGAAAUGCUCGUACCUUGACGGUACCUUACGAGAAAGCCACGGCUAACUACGUGCCAGCCGCCGCCGUAA
rnacentral:rRNA from 1 species